UAUCAGGCUAAUUCACUCUCUUUGCCAAAACAAAAUGCAGUUCCCCUUUCCUAGAAUCUGGGUUGGGCCUACAACUUGCUUUCAUCAAGAGAACGUGACAGAAGGGACGCGGUGCCAGCUCCAGGUCAGAAACUAAGAAGGCUGUUUUAUCCUCAGGGAAGCUCAGGGGAGGAGUCUAGCCAUCCUGCUGGAAAGGCAUUAAGAGACCAAGUGAAGAGGGACAGGGUCUGAGAGUACAUGAAAUAAAGCUGAGGAACCCACUGGCAGCGAAAACAGAGGCCUAGCCACGGGACUUCCAGUUAGGUUUCACGCUCUGAACGAAGAGGCCACCUUCGGUAUCCAAGCAGCAGGUACCGAAUAACAGAAAUGCAGUCUUAACCUGCCAUGCAAGAACCUCCGGGUCGCCACAACGGUCAUCGGUCACACAGGUCCUCUAUCCCCCAAAGGAAGAGAUGACCCACCUAAUUAGGACCCCCACCCUUGCUCCAAGGGAAGAUGGCCUUGCCCGGAACAACCCUUUUCUUUUGCUAAUAACCCUCUCGGCCCACCCGCUUCCGAUAAAGUCCUACGUGGCCCUCCUCGGUGCUCAGGGUACUCGCUCGUCCGCUGCCAGGUGCAUGCAUCGCUUCACGAAGGCGAUCGGACCUUCAGUUUACUCAGUUUUGUUCCCGGGCAGCGCCUCCGACCCGGGCGCAGACGCGCCGCCUCAUCUGCCUCCGCCCGAGCCUGCCACCAGUUCGGUUCCAUCCCCAGCUGCUCACGGACAAAGAGUAGUAGGGCUGGGGAGGCCUGGGUCACAGCCGGUCUUCCUUCACCAAACCCGCACACGGUAACUCAGAGGUUCCAGUCACCUGCCCCUGGCCGCACGGUCCUCCCCACGGAGCCCUCCACAGCGCCACUACUUGCAGCCGUAUCACAGGUCAACACUAAGGAAAUUUUACGGUACUGGACACGGAAUGAGCGGAUCUGAGCGCGGGACGCCCCGGCCAAGCCCCAUACCCGUCCUGGCAACAAGCGGCGUGGUGAAGACCAGCCCCAAGGAGCAAGAGGAGGCCAAGCACCCGCCCAAGGUGUCCGAGGUUCCGCGCGGAACGGAGAGUCCACUUCACAGCCCUGCCUCGCCCACCGGCCGCAGUGGAUUCUGGGAGUCCGCUCCGCUGCGGUGUGCGCAUGCGUGCCCCCGCCGCCGUGGUCUCGGAGUCCCAAACGCCCCGUUGUUCUGCCCAGCCAGAAGCAGAGCUUCAGUAUUGAGGGGCGAAUAUAGAACCGGGAAUGCCUGGGUUAGGAACAAACCAAAAGCCCUUAUCCAAAAAAGCAUGGUCUCCUUUCUCCCGGUCUCGGGACUGGCAUGGGUGAAGGAAAGCUUUUGCGGAUGAGGAUGCGCAUGCGUACGGGCGACAGCGGAAGCGGUGCCUCAGCUUCCUGUGUCUCCGGUGGGAGCGUUGGGAGGGAACGCGGUCGGGAGUACUGGAACACGCAUGUGUGCGGGCUGGCGUGCGGGGCGGCGGAAGGACGUUUGCUGCGCAGGCGCGUGGAGUCCCACGCCGCCGCUCUCCGCGGAGUGGUAGAGGCGUUCGGAAGUGGCAGGUUGGGACUUCCGCGCCGUGCGGAACAGACGCUCUGGGGGCGCGUCGGAGGGGCUCGGGUACUGGUGAUCCCUGAGGGCGGGGGCCCGGGGGUCAGCGUCGGGGUGUGGGCGGCCUCGGUGGGGCCCUGGAGGCGCCCGGGUGGGGGCUGCAGGGACCGCUGUUGGAGCUCCACGGAGGCUGUGUGACGGGAACGUCGUCCGUCUCUCCGAGCCCCGACUCGCUCCCGCGGGAGACCGGACGCCGUCUCUCGAACAGCGGACAGCGUCCGACCUUUCGGUGCCGGGAAUGGUGCCCUGCCCCGCCCAAACAGGCGGGGGCCUGGCUGCCAUGGAGUGGUUGCCCGCCGCGCCCCGAGAUUGCGGUUUUCAGAACCAGCCGCGGCCCUCAUAUCUGUCCGAUGAGGAAGACGAAGUGUGUUUUGUUGCAGUUGGCAGUUGUGCUGGCUGGAGAGGACGCCGCGGGCUCGCUUGUGUAGUAGUACGGCGGUCACUGCACCAAACGCGCGCUGGGCAGGCGCCGGGCGCAGUGGAGCGUGCGCCUCGACCGCUGGGCCUCGGGCGGCGCGUCGCGCUUGCAGCUGCUGGGGUCCGCGCUCUUCCAGCUGGUGUCUCAGGAUCCAGCCCUUCUCAGGGAGAGACAUUUAGACAAAGAGGAAUGGUUGCUUCAGCGCCAGCAGAGCAUCAAGCUCUGCAUCCACAGGACUCCGGUCUUCAAGAGAGGGGCUCCAUGAAGGGGAGGGUAACCCCUGGACUUCUAGAAGGCACAUCACUGACGUAUGUACAUAUACUUGUCCAAAAAAGAUCUGGAUCCUGUCAUACAUGCCAUAACACCCACACCUUGCAAGUCUUUCCGCCAAGACCUAGCCCUUUUCUCCAAGACCUUGUGAAUAAGAAAGUGUUUGGAAUUUCAGCGAUCAGUAACGUUCCAAGAUGUGGCCACCAACUUUUCCCAAGAAGAAUGGCGAUUCCUGAACCCUGCUCAGAGAAAAUUGUACACAGUGGUGAUGUCGGAGAAUUAUCAGAACCUGGUUUGGCUUGGGUAAGUGCAUCGAGCCUUGAAUUCAGUGUCUGGUCUCUGGUGGAUCUUCUUCCUUUCAGUAGAAUUCUCUAGGGGAACUACUGUGGUCUUUGCUUUAUUUUUUUGUUCCAUGUCCCAUAAAGAGCAGUGAGAAGUGGGCAACUCUCUUGUUCUCAUCUUUCAGGAAAUCUUUAAACUUUGCUUGGUCAUUUUCAUAAGGGCUUUUCUUCCUGAGGGCUGUGGUAGCGGGGCUCAAUUCUCAGGUAAUAAUGGCAUGGCCGUUUGCUGUCUCUUUUUCUUUGCCCAGGCAUUUCUAUCUCUAAGCCUGAUGUAGGUUUCCUACUGUAGCAAGGGAAACAGGUGUGGGGGAUGAGAAGCAAGGAGGCAAGAUAUUCAUGAGCAGAUGAGUGGGGAACCAGGCAGGGGGAGGCGACACAUGCGUAAGGCCGGCUGCUCUGACAACAGCCUUGAGGUGUUUGGACACCUCCCUUCAGAGGGCCCUUUAGUUCAGUUCCAGAGUGGAUCUGGCUUUCAUCUGUCUUUUAAAAUAAUUCCUUCCAGCCUCCAGAUGGAAGUGAGUCUCCCCUAGCUUCCGCAGUUAAUGAUCCGCUUCCUGCUUUUGCUCUCCAGGUGGUUUCUCACUGGCUCAUCUUCCUGCUUUUUUUCUUUUCAUUCAUAUGGCUAUUCUUUCGAAAACAUUCAUCAGGGCUUCUGUUUUCUU